AGUGAACGCUGGCGGCGUGCUUAACACAUGCAAGUCGAACGAGAACGGAUUAUAGCUUGCUAUAAUUGUCAGCUAAGUGGCGCACGGGUGAGUAAUGUAUAGGUAAUAUGCCUUUUACUAAGGAAUAACAAAUGGAAACGUUUGCUAAUACCUUAUACUCCUUAUUAACCUAAGUUAAUAAGGGAAAGAUUUAUUGGUAAGAGAUUAGACUGUAUUGUAUCAGUUAGUUGGUGUGGUAAUGACUUACCAAGACUAUGAGACAUAACUGGUUUGAGAGGAUGAUCAGUCACACUGGAACUGAGACACGGUCCAGACUCCUACGGGAGGCAGCAGUGGGGAAUAUUGCACAAUGGACGGAAGUCUGAUGCAGCAACGCAGCGUGGAGGAUGACACAUUUCGGUGCGUAAACUCCUUUUAUAUGAGAAGAUAAUGACGGUAUUAUAUGAAUAAGCACCGGCUAACUCCGUGCCAGCCGCCGCCGUAA
rnacentral:rRNA from 1 species